rnacentral:misc_RNA from 1 species
ACCACCAUGGAAUUUAUAGUCCUGUUUUAAGUUCCAACAAACAAACAGCCGAAAAUAUUAGCCUCAGAUCUAGAAAAUCUGUUAAAUGAGCUGCCGUCCCAAUAGAUUUCUGAAUAAUCAGAAAUGAAAUGCCAUUGCAAAACUUUAACAAACUAAACAAAUGAUCAGGAGCAAAUUCAACAGAUCAAAAUUUUUUUUCUUUACUUUCAUAUUCCUGGAAACCAAACAAUGGAAAAAUGGUGAACUAUCGAAAUAUUCAGAUCUGUAAUUUUGGCUCCAACUAAAACCCAUUUCUAAAAGAUAGUAGAAAAACGUGAAAGACAAGAAAAACGUGAAAGACAAUGAGGUUGAAG